rnacentral:rRNA from 1 species
GUCCACGCCCUAAACGAUGUCAACUGGUUGUUGGGUCUCUUCUGACUCAGUAACGAAGCUAACGCGUGAAGUUGACCGCCUGGGGAGUACGGCCGCAAGGUUGAAAACUCAAAAGGAAUUGACGGGGACCCGCACAAGCGGUGGAUGAUGUGGUUUAAUUCGAUGCAACGCGAAAAACCUUACCCACCUUUGACAUGUAACGGAAUUCGCCAGAGAUGGCUUAGUGCUCGAAAAGAGAGCCGUAAACACAGGUGCUGCAUGGCUGUCGU